GUAACAGCUAAUAUGUUAGAAGUUCUUACAAAAAAAUAUUUGUUAUUAUGAAUGCUUUAUCAGAUCUGGCUUUUUGUUGUUGUUGUUGUUGUUUUCUGCAGGGGCAGGAUGAGGCACAGGAUGCGUUCUUUCCUUUUCCCCUCUCCCAUAUUAGAAGGUUUCUCAGCUGUUCUCUAAAUAGCUUUCUUUGGACCAUCCCCACAGUAACCAUAUCCAUGUGAACCCCAGAAGUGAAUGCUGCCUGAGCUAAUUCUCAAGAUUUUCAGUGCUUCUCCCUAGUCUACCACCUCAGUAAUCAACUUCUGCCAGCCCUGACCCAGCACAUCUGUCUUCAUAUGCCUGUGCCACAGCAAUGGGCCCCACUUACCAUCCAGCUGAAAUUCCCGGAAGUACAUUUAAGAAAUAGGCAAUCAAGAAAAAAGGAUAUACGGCAGUCUAAAGACAAGUGUCAAACAGAUAAAAGAGGAGGGAGAUAGCUACCAUGUCAGAAAGCUGCCCUUGGAGAGGGAAUCCAACUGCCCUGUCUUGAUGAUACUCAGGUAGCCUAUGCAGAAGUCUAAGCAGCAAGAAAACAAAGCCUGCCAGCAACCACGUCUAAAGAAGAUGAGUGGGAAUGAGGAGACCAAGAGAAGAAAGAAGAAUUCAAGAGGGAGUGCUGGCCCAGAAGCCAAAUGAAGACAAUAUUUAAAGAAGGUGGGAGUGAUCGUGAUCUACACUCAAAUGCUCCAGAUACUCACAACUCAACAUAGGUAAUACAUGCUCCCCAUUAAGACAGCUGCCCAAACUUGUCAUUGGAUAUGCCUGCCUAUCCUUCACAAUACAGGAUCAAAAAGUUCAUGUGGUCUGAAAAGUUUGGACUUUCUCCUGAAGAUGAUGGGGAACUACUGGAGGUUUAAGAUCAGGGUUAUAUAAUACAAUGCAGUCUGUCCCUAAUGGGCAAUAUGAAUUAACGAAGAAGGACACUAAGGCAGGUCAUUAUUAGAAUAUAACAGAAUAAUAGGGCAACAGAUUUUUAAAAGUAAAUAAGGUUUAAGGUGAAUAAUGUGUGUGUCAGCUAUGAAAAUGCAACUAUCACAACUGUCAACAAUUUGAACGAAUGAAAUGUACUAGUUUGGGAUAAAACACAUUGUAUUUAGGUUAGCUGAUGACACAGAACUGGGACUUGGAGAGAGAAAGUAUAAACAUAAGUACACAGAAAAAGAGUUAAAAUUGUGGUACAGAAUCGUAUCACCAAAGAAAACAACAGAGAGAAUAGAACACCAAGGACUAAGUCAGCAUGGGAACACCCAUAGUUAGCAGAAUGCCAGGGAAGAAAAGUGAGGUUCAGAUUUUAGCCAAUAAGUGGACAUUAGAAGGCUGAUUUCCAUCAUAAAGCUUCUUAAAUGGUGUUACCCAAGAAACAAUAACUCUUAUUUCACCUUCCUUCACCCUGGAGCUAAUAUUCAAACCAGCUUUGGCAGGCUCAGUUCAUUGCUGGUACUAUACCAGAACUCCACUCUAAUAAUAUUUUUGAAGACUUGUCUUCUAAUGAGAUGUUUUCCAUAGUUCACUAACUGCAGUUUCCUGAAAUGGGGCUAAUGCACCUUGCUUUGGGCUGAAAUAAGGUUGUAGUGUGAUUCCAGUAUUUGUCAAUACAUUAAUAGUUUGCAUGGCAGUUAAUACAGACAGUGCCUCAAAUAAACUGGUUUAACAAACAGAUGUUGAAGAAAUAAAUGACUGAUUGGACAUGCAAAAAUUUAAUCCUAUACAAACUGGGUACAGACAAAUGAAUAUUGAAUAAAAAUUCUUAAUGACAAUAAUAUUGUAGGAGUUGGCAAAUAGAUACAAUCACAAAGAUUCAGUAGUGUAAAUUUCCCUAAGCAAUACCAUUCUGAACCAAUAAAGAUUUAGCA